rnacentral:rRNA from 1 species
UACGGAGGGGCGAGCGUUAUUCGGAAUUAUUGGGCGUAAAGGGCGCGUAGGCGGCUGAACAAGUCAAAGGUGAAAUCCCUCGGCUCAACUGAGGAACUGCCUUUGAAACUGUUCGGCUUGAGGCCGGGAGGGGUAGCGGAAUUCCCAGUGUAGCGGUGAAAUGCGUAGAUAUCAGGAGGAACACCAGUGGCGAAGGCGGCUUCUGGACGGUAACUGACGCUGAGACGCGAAGCGUGGGAGCAAACAGG